AGGGUAGGAACAGAAAAAGCAGCUGCUCCUCUGCAACCGCUGCCUGUGGGAAUUGGAGCACCUUUUGUCAGGUUUUAGCUCAAAUCCACUUUGCAAGUGGAUUAAGGAACUGGCACAAAAGUACUCUGGAUGGAGAGUGGGAAGAGGAAAAAGCUGCUAUUCCAGCACGGCAAUAGGAGCCAGGAAUGCUGCGCUUGCUGCCUGCUCCAUUUCUCCGAGAAACACAACCCGUGUGACACAACAAGUCUCCAGGCCUCAGCUGGACGCCAGCCCAGCCGUGGCAUCUGCUGUAGCACCAGUUCCUCCCUGCCACCCAACUGUGACCAACAGCCUGGAGAUGCCAACGAGGGCAGCAACACAAAUAUGGGCUCAGAGCCUUUGGAAAACAUCAACAUCCACAGCUCUCACUGGCCAAAAAUAUCUGGGCUGGGAAUUGUGCACCUCUGAGGGGAUGGUUCCAUGUUCAGAGAUGCUGGGGAUGGCCAGAGUGCUCUGUCACUGCUGGCACCAUCUGCUCCCAGUUACACACAUGGCUGGAGCCCUCCUCAGGGGUAAAACGCUGCUUAGCUGGUCCAAGGCAUCUUUGGGCUCCCAGAUCCAGAUAACCCACAGGGAGCAGGGUCAGCCCUGAUGCAAAUCCCUCCCUGGCAUGUGCAAAACCCCGAAGGCCAGCUUGAGACACAGGGCUGGUCCCUCCCUGCACAUCCCUGAGUGAAGCAGAGCCAGCACCUGCCCUGCCCACCCCCGUGCUGUGUCCCCAGAAAGGCACAGCAUUGUUCCCCAGGCACCCCACCCUGAAUCUGUGAUACUCUGGGAGAUGAGCAGAUAUGGGGACAGAUGUUUUCCCCUGCAGCUGUAAAACCUGCUGGGUUUGGGGCAGCUGGAGCUCCCCACAGGCUGGGGCUGGUACUGGGCUCCCCAGGGACACAUCACAGCCUCCCUCAUUCCUGCUGCUGUCACGGGGGAAGAUAAACCCGAGAUUAUCACUGGGAGCUGUCACCAGCUGCAGGCAGGAACCUCACACAGGUGACAGCACCGCACUGGGAGGGGUUGGAUCACCACCAGAGGCUGAGCAGGACACACAGACCCCAAAUUACCCCAAUCCCAUGAGGAUGGAGUUCCCUGGCUCUGAAAGCUCCCAAAGCUUUUGAGGAAUGACAGAAGCACCUGCCUGCUCCUCCUGCUGGUGGCUCUACUGGUUUUACUGGGACCACACCAGGCACAGAGGUUCCCACUCUCCUGUUUUGCUUUCCACAUUGUGGGAGCAGUCGGGCACAGAAGGUGGGGCUGGAAGAUUCAGGGGGUGCUCAGUGCCUGCCUCUCACUCCUGGAAUGGGGGAUUUAAGGAUGAAUUCCUGCAGGAGUAACUCCUAGAGGGGCAGGAGACUGAACAGGAAAAAGAAACCCAGUGACAAGUGUUGUGGUUUCACAUUUUCCCCAAACAAGGGAAAAUUUUGUAACUAAAAUCAUGACCCAUAAAGAUGAUUUUGCUGG